rnacentral:tRNA from 1 species
GGGGUUGUGGCUCAGCGGUAGAGCACCUGCCUCGCACGCAUGAGACCCUGGGUUCAAUCCUCAGCACCACA